UACGUAGGUGGCGAGCGUUGUCCGGAAUUAUUGGGCGUAAAGAGCUCGUAGGCGGUGUGUCACGUCGGCCGUGAAAACCUGCAGCUUAACUGUGGGCGUGCGGUCGAUACGGGCAUCACUGGAGUUCGGCAGGGGAGACUGGAAUUCCUGGUGUAGCGGUGAAAUGCGCAGAUAUCAGGAGGAACACCGGUGGCGAAGGCGGGUCUCUGGGCCGAUACUGACGCUGAGGAGCGAAAGCGUGGGGAGCAAACAGG
rnacentral:rRNA from 1 species